rnacentral:lncRNA from 1 species
AUAGUUUAGGGUUUAUUAUUUAGAAGGUGAGGGGAUAUGGUUGGGGUCAGCUUUAACUUCUUCCAUGAAAUCAUAGACAUUUCAUUAUUUCACCGAUAUAUACCAUGCUAUUUAUUUUGUUCCAUUCUAUUUGGGUUUAGAGUUUAUAUUUGGGUUUAGAGUUUAGUGAAUAUGGUUUAGGGUUUAGUAUUUAGAAGGUGAGGGGGUAUGGUUGGGGUCAGCAUUAACUUUAAUUUCUUCCAUGAAAUCAUAGAUAUUUCAAAAUUUCACCAAUAUAUACCAUGAUAUUUAUUUUGUUCCAUUCUAUUUAGGUUUAUGGUUUAUAUUUGGGUUUAGAGUUUAGUGAAUAGGGUGUAGGAUUUAGUGAAUAGGGUGUAGGGUUUAAUGAAUAUGGUUUAGGGUUUAGUAUUUAGAAGAUGAAGGGGUAUGGUUGGGGUCAGCAUCAACUUCUUCCAUGAAAUCAUAGACAUUUCAUAGUUUCACCAAUAUAUACCAUUAUAUUUAUUUUGUUCCAUUCUAUUUGGGUUUAUAACUUAUAUUUGCAUUUAGGGUUUGUAUUUGAGUUUAGGUUUUAUUAAUUAGGAUUUAGGGUUUAGCAUUACGGAUUUGUGGGGAUGGGAUAAUGUUUAGUAUAUAGGGGUUGGAGUUAGGGUAAUGUUUCGUAUUAGAGUAUAUGGGUGAGUUUAGAGAUAUGUAUUAUUUCGGCGAAGUGGAAUAGAACACUCGUGGUUUCUUAUAUUCUCUCAGAUGUAAACUAAAUAUUAGUCAUACCUCUAUUUGUCUACGUCAUCUAACCUCGUAUCCUUCACCUGCUACUUGUACAAGCGAAGGUCAAAACUGGCUCAUUUGAUGCAUAAUUGUUAGUUACUUAAUGAUGUCAAAAUCAAUGACAUGCAUCUAAUUUCUUCUCCAAUCAUAGCUAUUUUGCAAAUUCUCCCUAAAGCAAAUGUCUUCUCCUUGUUGAUUUUUUUAAUUAAAAUUAUUAAGACAAAAAUAUUUAGGAUUGGAGGUAUACGUGAUGAAAGAAAUAACUGGAGAAUGAAUGAUAGGUGUUUAUUUGGGGGAUGAAAAGCUAGAUUGUCUUCUUACAAAAACUCUUAAGGAUUACAAAAAAAAAACUCCUAAGGAAUACAAAACAAACAAAAAAAAAUUCUGGAAAACUCUGUGACGCUUAAAUUAAGAUCGUUGUAAUGAGAGUUAAAUAUUCAAAAAAUGAGUAGAAUUGAAUGUGGAAAUUCGUCUGUGGAUAAGAACUACUAACUCCGCUAGUUAGUGCUUUAACCAUUAUGAAGGUUUGUUGAAAGAUGAAAAGAGCGG